rnacentral:rRNA from 1 species
AUGAACGCUAGCUACAGGCUUAACACAUGCAAGUCGAGGGGCAGCAUGGUCUUAGCUUGCUAAGGCCGAUGGCGACCGGCGCACGGGUGAGUAACACGUAUCCAACCUGCCGUCUACUCUUGGACAGCCUUCUGAAAGGAAGAUUAAUACAAGAUGGCAUCAUGAGUCCGCAUGUUCACAUGAUUAAAGGUAUUCCGGUAGACGAUGGGGAUGCGUUCCAUUAGAUAGUAGGCGGGGUAACGGCCCACCUAGUCUUCGAUGGAUAGGGGUUCUGAGAGGAAGGUCCCCCACAUUGGAACUGAGACACGGUCCAAACUCCUACGGGAGGCAGCAGUGAGGAAUAUUGGUCAAUGGGCGAGAGCCUGAACCAGCCAAGUAGCGUGAAGGAUGACUGCCCUAUGGGUUGUAAACUUCUUUUAUAAAGGAAUAAAGUCGGGUAUGGAUACCCGUUUGCAUGUACUUUAUGAAUAAGGAUCGGCUAACUCCGUGCCAGCAGCCGCGGUAAUACGGAGGAUCCGAGCGUUAUCCGGAUUUAUUGGGUUUAAAGGGAGCGUAGAUGGAUGUUUAAGUCAGUUGUGAAAGUUUGCGGCUCAACCGUAAAAUUGCAGUUGAUACUGGAUAUCUUGAGUGCAGUUGAGGCAGGCGGAAUUCGUGGUGUAGCGGUGAAAUGCUUAGAUAUCACGAGGAACUCCGAUUGCGAAGGCAGCCUGCUAAGCUGCAACUGACAUUGAGGCUCGAAAGUGUGGGUAUCAAACAGGAUUAGAUACCCUGGUAGUCCACACGGUAAACGAUGAAUACUCGCUGUUUGCGAUAUACAGCAAGCGGCCAAGCGAAAGCGUUAAGUAUUCCACCUGGGGAGUACGCCGGCAACGGUGAAACUCAAAGGAAUUGACGGGGGCCCGCACAAGCGGAGGAACAUGUGGUUUAAUUCGAUGAUACGCGAGGAACCUUACCCGGGCUUAAAUUGCAGAUGAAUUACGGUGAAAGCCGUAAGCCGCAAGGCAUCUGUGAAGGUGCUGCAUGGUUGUCGUCAGCUCGUGCCGUGAGGUGUCGGCUUAAGUGCCAUAACGAGCGCAACCCUUGUUGUCAGUUACUAACAGGUUCCGCUGAGGACUCUGACAAGACUGCCAUCGUAAGAUGUGAGGAAGGUGGGGAUGACGUCAAAUCAGCACGGCCCUUACGUCCGGGGCUACACACGUGUUACAAUGGGGGGUACAGAGGGCCGCUACCACGCGAGUGGAUGCCAAUCCCCAAAACCUCUCUCAGUUCGGACUGGAGUCUGCAACCCGACUCCACGAAGCUGGAUUCGCUAGUAAUCGCGCAUCAGCCACGGCGCGGUGAAUACGUUCCCGGGCCUUGUACACACCGCCCGUCACACCACGAGAGUUUGUAACACCCGAAGUCGGUGAGGUAACCUUUUGGAGCCAGCCGCCUAAGGUGGGAUAGAUGAUUGGGGUG